CUAAGCAUAUCAAUAAGGGGAGGAAAAGAAACCAACAGGGAUUGCCCUAGUAACGGCGAGUGAAGCGGCAACAGCUCAAAUUUGAAAUCUGGCUCUUUCAGAGUCCGAGUUGUAAUUUGCAGAGGGCGCUUUGGCUUUGGCAGCGGUCCAAGUUCCUUGGAACAGGACGUCACAGAGGGUGAGAAUCCCGUACGUGGUCGCUAGCUAUUGCCGUGUAAAGCCCCUUCGACGAGUCGAGUUGUUUGGGAAUGCAGCUCUAAAUGGGAGGUAAAUUUCUUCUAAAGCUAAAUAUUGGCCAGAGACCGAUAGCGCACAAGUAGAGUGAUCGAAAGAUGAAAAGCACUUUGGAAAGAGAGUCAAACAGCACGUGAAAUUGUUGAAAGGGAAGCGCUUGCAGCCAGACUUGCUUGCAGUUGCUCAUCCGGGCUUUUGCCCGGUGCACUCUUCUGUAGGCAGGCCAGCAUCAGUUUGGGCGGUGGGAUAAAGGUCUCUGUCACGUACCUCUCUUCGGGGAGGCCUUAUAGGGGAGACGACAUACCACCAGCCUAGACUGAGGUCCGCGCAUCUGCUAGGAUGCUGGCGUAAUGGCUGUAAGCGGCCCGUCUUGAAACACGGACCAAGGAGUCUAACAUCUAUGCGAGUGUUUGGGUGUCAAGCCCGAGCGCGUAAUGAAAGUGAACGGAGGUGGGAACCCGCAAGGGUGCACCAUCGACCGAUCCUGAAGUUUACGGAAGGAUUUGAGUAAGAGCAUGGCUGUUGGGACCCGAAAGAUGGUGAACUAUGCUUGAAUAGGGUGAAGCCAGAGGAAACUCUGGUGGAGGCUCGCAGCGGUUCUGACGUGCAAAUCGAUCGUCAAAUUUGGGCAUAGGGGCGAAAGACUAAUCGAACUAUCUAGUAGCUGGUUCCUGCCGAAG
rnacentral:rRNA from 1 species